AGUCUGAUUAUGGCUCAGAUUGAACGCUGGCGGGAUGCUUUACACAUGCAAGUCGAACGGUGGCACGGACUUCGGUCUGGUGGCGAGUGGCGAACGGUAGUAAUGUAUCGGAACGUGCCUAGUAGCGGGGGAUAAUCACGCGAAAGCGCAGCUUAAUACGCCGCAUACGCCCUUCGGGGAAAGUGGGGACCUUCGGGCCUCGCACUAUUAGAGCGGCCGAUAUCGGAUUAGCUAGUUGGUGGGGUAACGGCUCACCGGCGACGAUCCGUAGCUGGUUUGAGAGUGACGACCAGCCACACUGGGACUGAGACACGGCCCAGACUCCCGGCAUGGGAGGCAGUGGGGAAUUUUGGACAAUGGGGGAAACCCUGAUCCAGCCAUCCCGCGCGUGCGAUGAAGGCCUUCGGGUUGUAAAGCACUUUUGGCAGGAAAGAAACGGCACGGGAUAAUACCCGUGCAACUGACGGUACCGCAGAAUAAGCACCGGUUAACUACGUGCCAGCAGCCGCGGUAAUACGUAGUGGGGUAAAGCGUUAAUCGGAAUUACUGGGCGUAAAAGCGUGCGCAGGCGGUUCGGAAAGAAAGAUGUGAAAUCCCCCAGAGCUUAACUUUGGAACUGCAUUUUUAACUACCGAGCUAGAGUGUGUCAGAGGGAGGAAUUUCGCGUGUAGCAGUGAAAUGCGUAGAUAUGCGGAGGAACACCGAUGGCGAAGGCAGCCUCCUGGGAUAACACUGAUGUCAUGCACGAAAGCGUGGGGAGCAAACAGGAUUAGAUACCCUGGUAGUCCACGCCCUAAACGAUGUCAACUAGCUGUUGGGGCCUUCGGGCUCGGUGGCGCAGCUAACGUGAAGUUGACCGCCUGGGGAGUACGGUCGCAAGAUUAAAACUCAAAGGAAUUGACGGGGACCCGCACAAGCGGUGGAUGAUGCGGAUUAAUUCGAUGCAACGCGAAAACCUUACCUACCCUUGACAUGUCUUUUGAACUUCGAAGAGAUUUGGGAGUGCUCGCAAGAGAACCGAAACACAGGUGCUGCAUGGCUGUCGUCAGCUCGUGUCGAGAUGUUGCUGUUCCAGCAACGAGUGGCAACCUUGUCAUUAGUUGCUACGAAAGGGCACUCUAAUGAGACUGCCGGUGACAAACCGGAGGAGGUGGAUGACGUCAAGUCCUCGCGGUCUUUAUGGGUAGGGCUUCACACGUCAUACAAUGGUCGGGACAGAGGGCUGCCAACCCGCGAGGGGGAGCUAAUCCCAGAAACCCGAUCGUAGUCCGGAUCGCAGUCUGCAACUGACUGCGCAGUCGGAAUCGCUAGUGACCGCGGAUCAGCAUGUCGCGGUGAAUACGUUCCCGGUCUUGUACACAUCGCCCACGCCAACAUGGGAGUGUGUUUUACCAGAAGUAGUUAGCCUAACCGUAAGGAGGGCGAUUACCACGGUAGGAUUCAUGACUGGGGUGAAGUCGUAACAAGGUA
rnacentral:rRNA from 1 species